CUCUUUCUUAAUUCGUGGGUGGUGGUGCAUGGCCGUUCUUAGUUGGUGGAGUGAUUUGUCUGGUUAAUUCCGAUAACGAACGAGACUCUGGCUUACUAAAUAGGCGGCGGAUCUUUGCAUCCGCUAUGUCUUCUUAGAGGGAUAAGGCAGCUCUAAGCUGCAUGAGAAGGGGCAAUAACAGGUCUGUGAUGCCCUUAGAUGUUCUCGGCCGCACACGCGCUACACUGAAAGAGGCAACGUGUUUGCCUGAUUCGAAAGAAUUGGGUAACCCCCUAAUCUCUUUCGUGCUGGGGAUUGAGGUUUGCAAUUAUCCUUCAUGAACGAGGAAUUCCCAGUAAGUGCGAGUCAUUAUCUCGCGCUGACUACGUCCCUGCCCUUUGUACACACCGCCCGUCGCUACUACCGAUUGAAUGAUUUAGUGAGGACUUCGGACUGAGUCCAAUGCGGCUUUCGGGCUGCGUUGGUAUUUCGGAAAGAUGUCCAAACUGUAUCAUUUAGAGGAAGUAAAAGUCGUA
rnacentral:rRNA from 1 species